UUCUAAAAUUCAGGAGCAUGGACAAACUUUCUGCCCGUUGGGGCAUAAUUUCUGUUUUUCGUCCUUGUCCGUGGAGAAGCCGUCUUCCUCCUCUUGCAGAAGCUCUCCGCAUGCAGCUGCCCAUUCUCGUAUCGCACGUCUGCAUCAACUCCUCUUCCACGUCUCUGUCGAGUUAUGACUUGUGACCUAAUUUUGGUGAUGGCUGGUCAAAUUUGUCGUGGGAAAGGGAAGGCUCAAUGAGGCAGCACAUUGUUGUAGACAGGCUUUAGCAGUCGCUGUCUGGAAUUUUUUUUUUAUUGGCGUGCCUAACAUGUCUGUUUACCUUGGUUGUGCAUGGCCAGCAAGCGAGAGAGGCAAGGGACACACACUCGAAGCAAUAGUCUGCACUUCUUCCUGUCAAUUCUGUCACCACCUGCAAUAUCCACCAACCAGCUUGGGUUCCAUCAUAUUUGUAGCAUUAAUUCAGAGUUUUUUCAGUGAUGCAUUUUUAGCUUUUAGGCUCCACUGUUUGGAAGCUUUGAGAUGGUCGAAUUUAUUUUUCAAAAAAAAUUCCCCGAAAAAUGAUCCUGCAACUACGUGCUAAGUUGCAGGUUGAAAAUCAUGUUAAUAAGGUUAUGGUAAAACUAAAAAAGAGAAUUAAGCAAGUCGAUCCGUCGCUGGC